rnacentral:rRNA from 1 species
UACGUAGGGGGCUAGCGUUGUCCGGAAUCAUUGGGCGUAAAGCGCGUGUAGGCGGUCCGGUAAGUCCGCUGUGAAAGCCCGGGGCUCAACCCCGGGUCGGCCGUGCGAACUGUCGAGCUGGAGCACUGUAGAGGCAGGUGGAAUUCCGGGUGUAGCGGUGGAAUGCGUAGAGAUCCGGAAGAACACCGGUGGCGAAGGCGGCCUGCUGGGCAGUGGCUGACGCUGAGGCGCGACAGCGUGGGGAGCAAACAGG